rnacentral:rRNA from 1 species
UACGUAGGGUGCGAGCGUUAAUCGGAAUUACUGGGCGUAAAGCGUGCGCAGGCGGCGCCGCAAGUCAGGCGUGAAAUCCCCGAGCUUAACUUGGGAAUGGCGCUUGAAACUACGGUGCUGGAGUGUGGCAGAGGGAGGUGGAAUUCCACGUGUAGCGGUGAAAUGCGUAGAGAUGUGGAGGAACACCGAUGGCGAAGGCAGCCUCCUGGGCCAACACUGACACUCAUGCACGAAAGCGUGGGGAGCAAACAGG